CGCCCACAUCACGCUGAACACUGGAUUCCCUACGAUUACCGAAGUUAAGCAACAUCGUCUGCUUAGUACGUAGAUGGGUGACCACAUGGGAAUAUCAGGUGCUGUAAG